AAAAAAACAGCACUCUUUUUGUCAAACUGCAGUCUUUUUCCUGCAGAGAGCAGUAAUCAUAUUUCUCAUCUGAAUUUCCCCUAAAUAGGAGUUAUUGCCCAUAUGUUUGAUUUGUGAGGCAAUUAAGUAGGUUGGGAUUUUCUCCUCAUGCUUUUCCCAUUUUCAGUCUCGACUGCUGACUCCAGUAGACGCAGCUUAUUUGUUCUUGCAGAUAAUGUCAUUUAUACUGCUAAAAAAAAUAAUUUCUGAGCACGUGGAUUCAAUGGCCCAUAAGCUCUGAUUUUAUUUUCACAGGUGCAUUUUUUAAGGCCAGAAGGAAAUAUGAUCACCACCAUCUAGCCUGACCUCCAGCAUAAUACGGGACAUAGAAAUUCACCUGUGACGUCUGUGCUGCGCCCUGUAAUUUCUGCUUCAGCUAGAGACAUGAAGAAACAUCCAUGCUUUCCUUCAUUUUUUGCAGUAAGCAUCUAUCAUGUCACUAAACAAGCUCACCAGCUGUGUUACGGAAGUGCAAACACACACCCAAGCACAUCAAGACUUCGAUCCGCAUUGUUUUUAGCAUGGACACCUCCUGCAGCACUAAGACUUACAGGACCUUGCAAUGCCAGGAUUUGGAAACAUCAUACAGCACAAGAAGGCAGACAUUCCAACACAACAUUUAGAUUUCAAAGGUUAUCCUUUCCCACCAGCUGCCAGCAUCUUUGUCCCAAGGACCUGCCUAGAUGAAAGAUGUUUUUUUUUUUUGCCAAAGUCACCAUAUGGGCAAGAGUGAUUCUCGUGAUCAGAAGCAACAAGAGCCUGGGAAACCUACAGGCUCCUUCAGUCCUUCAGAGGCUUAGUACUCUACCAUGCACACUGAGAAGCUGGAACAACUGGAGAGGACUCCUGAGACAUUUCAUUUUUUUAGCACCUGGGCACAGAGAGCUUGUCCAAACUUCACUUAGCAAGUAUAUAAAAAACAGUCUCCAGUCUCCACCGGCUACUUAAUCAGGAUGGCUCAGAUCUUGGUUAUUUCUAUCCUUUCCUCUCUGGUCCCUUUAGGAAGAAACUAAUCUCUGUAGUUAGGAAGGGAUCCCGAAGCAGCCACUGCUCACUGCAGUGACAAUCAUCGAAAUGUACCUUGCUGACUCAGCACAGCUGCAGCUGCAGAGCAUGGACCUUCCCAUAGGGUUAAUUUAUGGCACUGAGCAUUUAGAUGAAUGCAGAUGCGGAGCACACAGGAGCAUACUCCAGCAGCAGACAUGGCCAAGGUCCCGAUGCCAUCAUAAGAUGGCAUAAAGAGCCCUAAACCUUACUAUAAGAAGCUGCAGUCAAUUGCAACCCCUGCAACUGGGUUGAAAAACAAAAGCAUAUCAUACAACAGGAUAGUGUCUCUGACUGAUUUGUGGAACUUGUUCAAUAGUCUUUGUUCUUUGCUGUUUUAGAGAAAAUAGCGGAGGUUUUAACUACUGCUGCAAUGGCAAUUAUAACAAUGAUCUGUCACUUUUAGAUUUACUGGUUAAAACCAUGCUAGCUGACACUGGCAAUUUCUCGUGCAAUAAAUCCUAAAAAAGCAUCUAAAACA
ensembl:lncRNA